rnacentral:rRNA from 1 species
UACGAAGGGGGCUAGCGUUGCUCGGAAUCACUGGGCGUAAAGGGUGCGUAGGCGGGUCUUUAAGUCAGGGUGAAUCCUGGAGCUCAACUCCAGAACUGCCUUUGAUACUGAAGAUCUUGAGUUCGGGAGAGGUGAGUGGGAACUGCGAGUGUAGAGGUGAAAGUGACGCAGAUAUCAGGAGGAACACCGAUUGCGAAGGCAGCUCGCUGGACGUUACUGACGCUGAGACGCGAAAGCGUGGGGAGCAAACAGG